UACGGAGGAUGCAAGCGUUAUCCGGAAUGAUUGGGCGUAAAGCGUCCGCAGGUGGCAGUUCAAGUCUGCUGUCAAAGGCCGGGGCUCAACCCUGGAAAGGCAGUGGAAACUGAACAGCUAGAGAGCGGUAGGGGCAGAGGGAAUUCCCAGUGUAGCGGUGAAAUGCGUAGAGAUUGGGAAGAACACCGGUGGCGAAAGCGCUCUGCUAGGCCGCGACUGACACUCAGGGACGAAAGCUAGGGGAGCGAAUGGGAUUAGAUACCCCAGUAGUCCUAGCCGUAAACGUUGGAUACUAGGCGUUGAGAGUAUCGACCCUCUCAGUGUCGUAGCUAACGCGUUAAGUAUCCCGCCUGGGGAGU
rnacentral:rRNA from 1 species